rnacentral:rRNA from 1 species
AACGUGGACCCGUAAUCCGGGUUGCGGACAGUGUCUGGUGGGUAGUUUGACUGGGGCGGUCUCCUCCUAAAGAGUAACGGAGGAGCACGAAGGUUGGCUAAUCCUGGUCGGACAUCAGGAGGUUAGUGCAAUGGCAUAAGCCAGCUUGACUGCGAGCGUGACGGCGCGAGCAGGUGCGAAAGCAGGUCAUAGUGAUCCGGUGGUUCUGAAUGGAAGGGCCAUCGCUCAACGGAUAAAAGGUACUCCGGGGAUAACAGGCUGAUACCGCCCAAGAGUUCAUAUCGACGGCGGUGUUUGGCACCUCGAUGUCGGCUCAUCACAUCCUGGGGCUGAAGUAGGUCCCAAGGGUAUGGCUGUUCGCCAUUUAAAGUGGUACGCGAGCUGGGUUUAGAACGUCGUGAGACAGUUCGGUCCCUAUCUGCCGUGGGCGCUGGAGAACUGAGGGGGGCUGCUCCUAGUACGAGAGGACCGGAGUGGACGCAUCACUGGUGUUCGGGUUGUCAUGCCAAUGGCACUGCCCGGUAGCUAAAUGCGGAAGAGAUAAGUGCUGAAAGCAUCUAAGCACGAAACUUGCCCCGAGAUGAGUUC